GAUGAACGCUGGCGGCGUGCCUAAUACAUGCAAGUCGAGCGAACAGACGAGGAGCUUGCUCCUCUGACGUUAGCGGCGGACGGGUGAGUAACACGUGGAUAACCUACCUAUAAGACUGGGAUAACUUCGGGAAACCGGAGCUAAUACCGGAUAAUAUAUUGAACCGCAUGGUUCAAUAGUGAAAGACGGUUUUGCUGUCACUUAUAGAUGGAUCCGCACCGCAUUAGCUAGUUGGUAAGGUAACGGCUUACCAAGGCAACGAUGCGUAGCCGACCUGAGAGGGUGAUCGGCCACACUGGAACUGAGACACGGUCCAGACUCCUACGGGAGGCAGCAGUAGGGAAUCUUCCGCAAUGGGCGAAAGCCUGACGGAGCAACGCCGCGUGAGUGAUGAAGGUCUUCAGAUCGUAAAACUCUGUUAUUAGGGAAGAACAAAUGUGUAAGUAACUAUGCACGUCUUGACGGUACCUAAUCAGAAAGCCACGGCUAACUACGUG
rnacentral:rRNA from 1 species